rnacentral:rRNA from 1 species
AUUGAACGCUGGCGGCAGGCCUAACACAUGCAAGUCGAGCGGAGCGGCGGACGGGUGAGUAAUGCCUAUGACUCUGCCUGUUAGUGGGGGAUAAGGUUCGGAAACGGGCACUAAUACCGCUAACUAUCAGCUUAGCCUAUGGCGGAUUAGGUAUAUGGUGGGGUAAAGGCCUACCAAGGCGACGAUCCGUAGCUGGUCUGAGAGGAAGAUAAGUCACACUGGAACUGAGACACGGUCCAGACUCCUACGGGAGGCAGCAGUGGGGAAUAUUGGACAAUGGGCGCAAGCCUGAUGCAGCCAUGCCGAGUGUAUGAAGAAGGCCUUCGGGUUGUAAAGCACUUUCAGCGGGGAGGCGUUACCCGCAGAAGAAGCACCGGCUAACUCCGUGCCAGCAGCCGCGGUAAUAC